rnacentral:snRNA from 1 species
AGCUUUGCGCCGUGGCAGUAUCGUAGCCAAUGAGGUUUAUCCGAGGCAUGAUUAUUGCUAAUUGAAAAAAGUGUCUUUUCCAAA